rnacentral:rRNA from 1 species
UUUCGGAUCGUAAAACUCUGUUGUUAGGGAAGAACAAGUACCGGAGUAACUGCCGGUACCUUGACGGUACCUAACCAGAAAGCCACGGCUAACUACGUGCCAGCAGCCGCGGUAAUACGUAGGUGGCAAGCGUUGUCCGGAAUUAUUGGGCGUAAAGCGCGCGCAGGCGGUUCCUUAAGUCUGAUGUGAAAGCCCCCGGCUCAACCGGGGAGGGUCAUUGGAAACUGGGGAACUUGAGUGCAGAAGAGAAGAGUGGAAUUCCACGUGUAGCGGUGAAAUGCGUAGAGAAUGUGGAGGAACACCAGUGGCGAAGGCGACUCUUUGGUCUGUAACUGACGCUGAGGCGCGAAAGCGUGGGGAGCAAACAACGAUUAGUAUGACC